CCUACGGGAGGCUGCAGUGGGGAAUAUUGCACAAUGGGGGGAACCCUGAUGCAGCAACGCCGCGUGGGUGAAGAAGGACUUCGGUAUGGAAAGCCCUGUCAGCAGGGAAGAAAAUGACGGUACCGGACCAAGAAGCCCCGGCUAACUACGUGCCAGCAGCCGCGGUAAUACGUAGGGGGCAAGCGUUAUCCGGAUUUACUGGGGGUAAAGGGAGCGUAGACGGCAGGGCAAGUCUGGAGGGAAAGCCCGUGGCUUAACCCCGGGACUGCUUUGGAAACUGUGUUGCUGGAGUGCAGGAGGGGUAAGCGGAAUUCCUAGUGUAGCGGUGAAAUGCGUAGAUAUUAGGAGGAACACCGGUGGCGAAGGCGGCUUACUGGACUGUAACUGACGUUGAGGCUCGAAAGCGUGGGGAGCAAACAGGAUUAGAUACCCGGGUAGUC
rnacentral:rRNA from 1 species